rnacentral:rRNA from 1 species
UACGGGGGGAGCAAGCGUUGUUCGGAUUUACUGGGCGUAAAGGGCGCGUAGGCGGUCAGCACAAGUCAGUUGUGAAAUCUCCGGGCUUAACUCGGAAAGGUCAACUGAUACUGUGCGACUAGAGUGCGGAAGGGGCAACUGGAAUUCUCGGUGUAGCGGUGAAAUGCGUAGAUAUCGAGAGGAACACCUGCGGCGAAGGCGGGUUGCUGGGCCGACACUGACGCUGAUGCGCGAAAGCCAGGGGAGCAAACGGG